GANCUGCCCGGUGAAAUUUUUUAACGGCCGCGGUACUCUGACCGUGCAAAGGUAGCAUAAUCAUUUGCCUUAUAAUUGAAGGCUGGUAUGAAUGGUUUGACGAGAAUAUAACUGUCUCUUUACAAUUUGAUAGAAUUUUAUGUUUAGGUGAAAAAGCCUUAAUUUGAUUAAAAGACAAGAAGACCCUAUCGAGCUUAAGAGAAAUUAGCAGGUGAUAGAUUUUUGGUUUAAAAAAUACAACUGUUAAACAUUUUGGUUGGGGCGACUGAGGAACAUGAAAAGCUUCCUUUUAUGACCUUUUAUAUACGAAUUAUUGAUCCACGGUUAGUGAUUAAAGGAAUUAGUUACCGUAGGGAUAACAGCAUAAUCUUUUUUGAGAGUUCUUAUCGAAAAAAGGGUUUGUGACCUCGAUGUUGGACCAGAAUAUCCUAAAGAUGUAGAAGUCUUUAAGGGUUGGUCUGUUCGACCAUUAAAAUUCUA
rnacentral:rRNA from 1 species